GAUGAACGCUGGCGGCGUGCCUAAUACAUGCAAGUCGAGCGAACAGACGAGGAGCUUGCUCCUCUGACGUUAGCGGCGGACGGGUGAGUAACACGUGGAUAACCUACCUAUAAGACUGGGAUAACUUCGGGAAACCGGAGCUAAUACCGGAUAAUAUAUUGAACCGCAUGGUUCAAUAGUGAAAGACGGUUUUGCUUUCACUUAUAGAUGGAUCCGCGCCGAAUUAGCUAGUUGGUAAGGUAACGGCUUACCAAGGCAACGAUGCGUAGCCGACCUGAGAGGGUGAUCGGCCACACUGGAACUGAGACACGGUCCAGACUCCUACGGGAGGCAGCAGUAGGGAAUCUUCCGCAAUGGGCGAAAGCCUGACGGAGCAACGCCGCGUGAGUGAUGAAGGUCUUCGGAUCGUAAAACUCUGUUAUUAGGGAAGAACAAAUGUGUAAGUAACUAUGCACGUCUUGACGGUACCUAAUCAGAAAGCCACGGCUAACUACGUG
rnacentral:rRNA from 1 species